AAACUUUCAACAACGGAUCUCUUGGUUCUGGCAUCGAUGAAGAACGCAGCGAAAUGCGAUAAGUAAUGUGAAUUGCAGAAUUCAGUGAAUCAUCGAAUCUUUGAACGCACAUUGCGCCCGCCAGUAUUCUGGCGGGCAUGCCUGUUCGAGCGUCAUUUCAACCCU
rnacentral:rRNA from 1 species